rnacentral:rRNA from 1 species
CCUAAGGUAGCGAAAUUCCUUGUCAGGUAAGUUCUGACCCGCACGAAUGGCGUAAUGAUUUGGGCACUGUCUCGACAGCCCGCCCGGCGAAAUUGUAGUACUGGUGAAGAUGCCAGUUACCCGCAACUAGACGGAAAGACCCCAUGGAGCUUUACUGCAGCUUAAUACUGGAAAUCGGUAAUUCAUGUACAGGAUAGGUGGGAGACGGAGAAGCACGGUCGUCAGGUCAUGUGGAGUCGCCCUUGGGAUACCACUCUUGGAUUGCUGGUUUUCUAACCUGCGGCCGUGAAUCCGGUCGGGGGACACUGUUAGGCGGGCAGUUUGACUGGGGCGGUCGCCUCCAAAAGAGUAACGGAGGCGCUCAAAGGUUCGUUCAGCACGGACGGAAAUCGUGCAUUGAGUGUAAACGCAUAAACGAGCCUAACUGCGAGACCGACGGGUCGAGCAGUAACGAAAGUUGGAGUUAGUGAUCCGGUGGUAUGUGAGUGGAAAUGCCAUCGCUCAACGGAUAAAAGCUACCCUGGGGAUAACAGGCUGAUCUCCCCCAAGAGUCCACAUCGACGGGGAGGUUUGGCACCUCGAUGUCGGCUCAUCGCAUCCUGGGGCUGUAUUCGGUCCCAAGGGUUUGGCUGUUCGCCAAUUAAAGCGGCACGCGAGCUGGGUUCAGAACGUCGUGAGACAGUUCGGUCCCUAUCUGUUGCGGGCGUAAGAGAUUUGAAGGGAGCUGUCCUUAGUACGAGAGGACCGGGAUGGACGUACCUCUGGUGCACCAGUUGUCCUGCCAAGGGCAUAGCUGGGUAGCUAUGUACGGACGAGAUAAACGCUGAAAGCAUCUAAGCGUGAAACUCCCCCUAAGAUGAGAUCUCUCAUCCUUUAUGGAGUAAGGGCCCAGAAAGACGAUCUGGUUGAUAGGCCGGAGGUGGAAGUGCAGUAAUGUAUGCAGCUGACCGGUACUAAUAGCCCGAGGGCUUGACCUA